rnacentral:lncRNA from 1 species
GGAACUUGGUGUUUUUGGUAAUGUGGUGGUGGCGGUAAGAUCAGUGGUAGCGGUGGUGGCGGUGGCUGCAAUGUGGCUGUGGUGGCGGCGCUGACGUAACCCAGUCGGGGCGAUGGAGGGAGGCGGUGGUCGGUGGCCGCGGACGAGCGACCGACUGACUGCAUGAGCUCCGUCGGCACCACCGCCGCUGCUGCCGCCGCCACCACCGCCGCUCUCCUCCGAUGCCGCCUCCCUACCCCUGCCCUCGUGCUCCUCCUCCACCGUUUGUACGUUUAUGAAUCACGGGUAUAUGGAGUAAGCCGGUGACAUGCCAUGAUCAUAUAUAUUCGUACACAGACACUAUUCCCACCGAACACCUCCGACUGGUUCUGACUGGUGGCGGCACUCGCUGGCUGGUGUGCGGCCUCUCUCAUGGUGCCUCCCGAUUCUCGACACAGCGCCUCAGACGAAGGUGCAGCCAGCAAGGGAGAGGCAGGGGACGCCUGAUCCCCCACACCCACCCAGCCGGCGGUGGCGGGGAGAGCGUGAGGAACAAGAGAAGGCAAAGGAGAGACAUGAAAAGUGAGAGGAUGUGGGGUGUGAGGGAGGGAGGGAGGACGGCCAGACGGGCGCCAGACUCGGCCGGUACAGCCUGUGGACUCCAUUUUAAAAGGUGAAUAAUUGUGCAGGUUUUUGGGCGUGUGAGGUGAGCUGCGGCAGGUGGUGGCGCCCCCCUGGUGGCCGCGGCCACACCACCGCCACCUUGUAGGUCACAGUGACACCACAGGCCCCCUCCCCCUUGGCCGUCUACACUCCCGCCUUCCUCGCCCCACCCCCCUGCCGGGCGUGGGUGAAGAGUGUGGUCGAGGUGCGACAGACGGACGCAUGGCGGCCAGGCACACCCCGCCACACCCCACUAGCACCACAGCCACAGCUUGACCACGGGGGGCGGAGCGCCCAGGCACCCCCCUCCCGCCAGCCACGCGGCCGACCCACCAUUGGCUCACACUGUUUUAAUUACAGAACCAGUUUGUGUGGCGGUCAUGUGAGGCGGUGGCGGGUGGCGGGGCGGGGCCAAGCCGGCCCUGUCGGAUCUUGGGGCCACCCCGGCAAGGGUUGGGGCGGAGCUUCAACUGUGAAAGACCGUCUGGCUCCGCCUCCUUUUCUGGCUCCGCCCCGGGUCCGCCCCUCGUGGAGGAGCGCGAGCAGACGCAGCGCCGCGUCCCCCGCCCGCCUCAGUUCCGCCGCGUCUGUCUGGUGAGCAGCAUGUUGCGCUUGACCUCCCGCGCCCUCACGCCCACACUUAGUGCUCCUCCCACGCCCACGCACGCCCACACCUACUCCAGCAAUAGUGUGUGAUCGCUGGCUCGAGUUUUUACCGGCCAAGUUUUGUGUAGUUAAGAGUGAGAGGCUACCAGUGACCCAGCAGAGUGGAUAGUGCUGAGUGGGCCAACAGGCCGCCGCCCGCCGGCGUGCAAGGCAACACCCGCCCUUCUCCGCCGCCUCCGUCGCUUAUACGUGUCGGUAGUGUCACCCUGAGUGCGCCCUCUUCUUGGUCUCCGUCGGUCGGUCGGAGUCGGUCCGACGUGACCGCUCAAGGCGCCGCUGGCGUCGGACCAUCGCGGCGCGGAGGCGCGGGCCCUAGACCGUGGAGAACACCGAACGGCCGUCAGCACCGCCGCCGAUGCAGGCUGAGCGGCGGGCCGUCGCUCAACUUGUGGCCGCGGUCAGCGCGACGGCCGUCAGCGGUGGCGAGGGUCUGUUGCAAGCCGUAGCGACGGGUCGGAGCGCGGCGGACGUCUGGUGGGGCGGCGGGUCGGAGCGAGAGCGAGAACAGAGUGGCGGUACCGCGGCCCGCGUUGCUCAGCCACGCAGGUUGGUGCUCGGCCGACCACCGCUGCACUCCGCGCUCGUCAUCCCGCCCGCCGCGGCACCAGCGCCAACCCGCGACACCCGCCCGCCGUCACCGCCGCCGCCGCCGCCGCUGCUGGGCUGACGACAUUCGGACCCUCCGGCAGACAUGGAGGGAUACCCCGCCCCCCUGUAGUGCUAGUGUAGUGAUGUGCCAGUGUUCGGUGAUAGUGUAACCCAGUGGUUGUGCCGCGCCGUUGGGACUCCACCGCUCAGGAUGUUCAAAAAACGAAGCCGGAACCACGCUACCCCUCCAUCCUGCCUGCCUGCCUUCCUCUGCCAGUGAAGAGAACCCUACACGAAGAGAGAGAGAGAGAGAGAGAGAGAGAGAGAGAGAGAGAGAUGGAACGUGCUACAAAAUCCAACUUUGAAGAUUAUGAGUACUCUGUGUGUGUGUGUGUGUGUGUGUGUGUGUGUGUGUGUGUGUGUGUGUGUGUGUGUGUGUGUACGAGGGUUCCAUCUACAUCAACAACAACAACAACAACAAAUGAUGAUGAUCGCUUUAAUGGGUGUGAAGGGCAGGACCGGGCGACCCAGGCAGUGCUGUGGAUGGCAAAGGUGCGUUUGUGUCUACCUGUGCGUGUUACCUGCUUGAGGGUAUCGAACGGGCAGCCUCGAGGACUCCAGACAAGACAAGAACUAGCUCUCCAGGAAGGGAUCUCAGACACGCCCUUAUUAAACUCAGCAGGACACGGGGCUGCCUUCCUCACCACUACUGUGUUAACAAGAUAAGCCUGAUUUGUUUACUAUUACUGCUAGAGAGAGAGAGAGAGAGAGAGAGAGAGAGAGAGAGUUGUAAUUGAAGGAAAAACGUAUUGUGAAGGAGAAAAAAGAUAGAAGGAAUUAUGAACGAAGAGGCCAGGAGACAGAUAGAGAAUUACAUAAGAGGAAAGACGAAAGAUAAGAGAAUAAAUGGAGAGGAAAAGGAAGGAUGUUAAGAUAGAUGUAGAAUGAAAGACAAAAAGAAGUGAUAAAAAAGAUAGGCAGACGAGAGAGAGUUAGAUAGAGAGAGAAUAGGAAGAAACAAAAAAAAGGUCAUGGUAAAAAAUGAUAGGCAUAAUAAUUAUAAUGAGAACGUCACUUGAGGUGCAGACAGAAGAGCGUUAGAUAGUGAGGAAUGUAGAUAGAAACACAGAAAAAGGUCGUGGUAAAAAAUAAACAAUUCAUAAUGAGAACGCCACUUUAUAACGGAACAGACUAAAGGUACUCGACUUGAUUAAAAGGUAAAAGCAAUUUAGUCUCCCAUGGCAAGGUAUAAUGAUAAAUAAGGUAAUAGAUAAAAAGUCACACAGAUCAAGCAUGGAAGUGUAAUGUAUAAAGUGAAGUAGCGAGAAAGAAGGAUGAUAAAUUAAAGUUACACAGACCUGACCGCUGUAAUAUAUUCCUUUUUAUUUUUUCUUUAAUUAUGAUAUGGAACCGUAAUUAGUGGGGAGGAUUUAAGGUCAAUUAAUAGUUAGUCAGGCAGCUGGUGGUGGAGUGAACACUAAUUUACGUACUAGUGUUUUUCUUUUUGUUUAGUUUUUUUCCCAUGAUGGUUUUCAGGGAUCGGGGUUGAUGUGUCAAAUAAUUUCGUGCUGGUUUUGUUGUCUUUCUUUUUUCGUUAAUGUUUUUGUGCAGGUUUGACUUGGCUUUGUUUUAUUAUUUUCUUUUUUUGAAGCGAAUAAAGCACAGGGGUUGUUACAUGAAUAGGUUGAUGACUAGGUAUGUGUAUAGCUAGUGGAUGGAUGGAUCGCUAGAUUAAUAGAAUGCCAGAUAGACUGAUGAAUAAUUGAAUAUAGGCUAAGAUGGUUAGAUUGAUAGACGGAGAAGUAAGUAUGAAUGAUAUAGACUCUACCAAUAUAGCAUAGGUCUAUCAGUAAGUAUAGUUCAUGGUAGACGUGCAUAGUGUAUCAUAGCUUAUAAAUACAUGAGAAGUGGUUGUGUGUGUGUGUGUGUGUGUGUGUCAUAGGUGUAUGUAGGUGUGAUGAUUUCAUAUUGCAUUUUUCCCUCAUUUAAUGUUAAGUUGAAAUAUCACACUUGUGCUUGACUCGUUGUAAUGAAUGUAAGUGGUGGAAACACGGUAUUUAUUUACACGUUUUUACUCAUUAGUUUACGCAGUUUUAUCACGCUAAUAUGUCUUGUUUGAUACUGUCCUCAAGAAAAAUUUAAUAAAGUGAGUUACUAUUAAGAAUACUGAGUUGUAAGAAAAAAAACUCAGAAUUGUUAGUCUAUUUAUUGUGUAGACAUUUUCUUUUGUAUCAUUUUUUUUUUUUUUUCUAUUUACCCAUUUAUUCAUUUUUCCCAGUCAUUUUGUUAUCAUCAAAGAUCUAAGACUUUUUUCGUUAUUGAUAUUUAUUUUAUAUAUAUGUCAUCAGAUAAUUCCUUAUCAUUAUUUAUUCAUGCCCAAUGUUACCACCACCACCACAAUAUACACGGUCUCCUUUUCCUCCCACACAGAGCAGCGCAGCCCAGCUCAGCAUAGCUACACAGUCCCGUCCUCCAUUCCCUGAGACCCUUUCUUGUGAAGGCACAGGUUCACAGGCAAGGCGCUCAGGCAUGGAUGACGGGUUAGUACGUCCAGACGCUCCCGUGGAUGACAACCAGAAAGAGACAGGCAUAAGUUGUCUGGAAAUUUUAGACCACCACCACCACCACGUCAGCCUGUCCCCAAGUCCACCAGUUCAUCAUGCAAUGUCAACCAGCCCGUCUCAUGUCAAGAAAUGCCUAUACUUAAAAAAAAUCAAAUGUUAAAUUGUAUGGUUUUUGUAUAAUUAUUGUUAUUAUUAUUGUUGUUUCUUCAUUAAUUUAUUUAUAAGAGUUGUGAAUUCAUUUACCAUUAGAAUUAUUUGGCUUGUAUUCUUAUGGAACAUAUCAGUAUAAUAAAGUAGUGUAAGAAGAGGAGUCACUAGAUGUAAAGGAUGUGCUAGAGUAGGGAAUGGAGAAUACUACUAAUAAUAAUGAUGGUAAUGGUGAGUAAACAAAUGAUGCAUUAGCACACUGUUAAGUAUUACAUUUGUUACCAGUCACGUCUUGCUGAUGUACUAGUUCAAGAUACUGAAUAGCGACCGAAAAUAAUCCUGUGUGUGUCAUUGUUGUGAAGCGAAGUAACAAGUAGAGUUUGCUCGUAACUGAUCGUUUACUCGUUUUUUUUUUUUUUUUUUUUUUUUUUUUUGCCAGCCUUGUAUAUAAAUUAUUUAAUUCAUUUUCUUCGUUUUGUCUUUUUAUAUUUUAUUUAUUUAUUUAUUUUUUCUCACGUAGUCAUACAAACAUCCGUUAUAAUACAGUUUGUUACAGGCUUCCUUCGAAUGAAAUACGGUUUUGCCUCUUAUUUUUCGAUAUAUGAUGAAAAAGUAACUUUAAUUGAUAAAUGCUAAUAAACAAGAGAGCGAUGGUGGGGGUGAGGGUGACAGGGGGUAGGGAGUAGUUAGAAGGUAGACAUAGUCGCCUAAAACGGAAAAUAAAGCCCACUAAAUGAUACAUCGCAGCGAGUAACUAACGGUAAUAUUCUCACUAAACCCAAUUUUUUUUUUUCUAUGCCAUUCAUUUAAAUAUUUCAUAUAAACUGAUUUGUAGAAGCAGUGUUGGUAUUGAGGGUGGUAGGAAGUGACGUAUACUUGCUUGUUGCUGGAACCCAAGAUGGCGGUAUAGGCAGGACGCGGGCACGGUAGGGGACCGGGACAGUCGCAUCUCGAUAGUAGUGACCUUGUUGAUCUUGUGCGUAGUGCUUGUGAAUCCUGAGAGACAAUGAACACCAGGGAAGACGAUGCACAGGUGACACGACCUCGCAUGCGCCGAGAUUUGGGCACCCAUGCACCGACCAACCUGCAAGGAAGGAUGGAGAGCAGAUUGGACAGACUGUGGUGUCAUAGCAAAGAGUAACAACUGCUACACCACAGAGGAACAUGCACACUACUUCAGCAAAAGCCAGUGGGAAGGAGUGUCUGGGAACGAUGAUAUGGAGCCUUGUCCAAGGAUGACACGACACAUAUUGGCAGUCAGCUGGAUGCUCUGUGACGAUUCUUUGAGGAGUCCUCCAGAACCGGCAGAUAUUGAUCCUGGUUCUAACACUGUUGGGUCUAGUCACUCAGGUCUUCUGGAAACUGCAGUCUGAAGGAACUUAAAUCUGCCAUGACCACCUCAAUGCAAGCUUUUGACGGCAAGGACAGAAGUCCUCAGACUCUGACUGACCAUUGGAAUAAACUGCAUCACAAGGCAGCAUCUCAGGUGCUGGCUUUUACUGUUUGGCAAUGCAACAAGCUAGAUAGCAAUACUCCAAGUGUGUGUUUCCUCCAAGUACUUAGUCUGAAAUACCCACAUGUGAUCAGCUUUAAAAUACUGGACUGAAAAAUAUUACUUUGUGAAAAUAUGAAUUUCAUAUAAAAUUAUUGGUUAAAUGUAACUGAGUGCAGUUAAUGUCACCAAUAGUGUUGUAGAUGUGAUUCCUCUCAUAAACUCUGUAUCAUAACUUGUCCACAUUAUGUAUUCUUUAUGUUCUCUCCAUGUCUGACCUAUUUUUUUAUCAUUCCCAGAGGAGACCACCAAGGCAGAGAUAAUUUAUUCCUAUCCUUAUUUUGCCUCCUUGUAUUCACUAAUACUCUUUUCUCCACUCUGCUGUUCUCCUGCACAUCUCAGCACUACCCUCUCACUUCUCCACUCUGCUGUUCUCCUGCACAUCUCAGCACUACCCUCUCACACCCCUGGAACCUGUCCUCUUCCACCCAUCAUUGUCAUUCUUCUUUAUGUUCUCUUCUUGCCAUUCUUUUUGUGUCUAACCCACCUUGGCAUGAUGCUGUGCUUAACCCACUCAAAAAUCCCAUAUUUCAUCCUUGUAUCUUUACUUUGCAAUUCACAGACACAGCUAUAAUUACUUUUACCAUCACAUAUACUAUUUUGUAUGUACUACAUGUGUGCUUAAGCUGUUUUUAGUUACCCUACUUAAUUAUGAAAUUAAUAAUUUUUACCUAGAAAAGGGAAGAUCAUUUAAAAAAGUUGAUUUGUUGAAGUAACAUCAUUUAAAUGGUCUAGAUGCAUAUCUGCAACCAUUUAAAUCUUAUUGUGCACUAUGAUUGUUGGCCAAAUGAGAUGAGUCUUUCCAAGCGUCAGUUACUCUUCUGGUGCCCCCAGAUGGAUAGGUCUUCUCUGACAAGUAGAGGUACUUAAUUUUUUAUGAUAUAUUCUUUGUUGUGGCAAGGAUACUAAUUUCCUUUGUGAAGGCUACUUGAUUAUCAAAGAAGCCUCAUUCCUGCCAGAUCUUAACUCCCUUUGUCCUACAGUGUGCAGCUGUUGUAUUCUUGAUAAUUUGUGAGGAUUUAGUGAGUUCAGGAUAACUGUACAACAAUUUCAUAUCCAACACCAGGCAUGGACUUAACCUUUGCAUUCCAGCAGAUGCGUGCAGGAUGUCUCACAGUGAUCACUGUGCUCCCAUCUCAGUACACUCAAUCCUCUGCCAUUGCAGCUCAUUGCUCAUGUUACUGAUAUGAAUCCUAAUUAUGCACUAGCAUACCCCUAGAUUCUUUUUUUUUUUUUAUUCAAACAUUUUGGCACUAACAGUAUAUGAUGAUGCCUAAUACCAUGACACUCUUGCAGCAGAUAGGUUCUAAUGAUAUGAAAUGAGAUGAGGAAAAUGUAGAUGAUAAAAGAUCAUGAAACAAUACCUGACGUAAUGUGUGCACUUAAGGCUUUCAGCUGAAGUAAUUUUAGCACCAAUAAAUUUGACUUAGUUUGCAGUCACUGCAAUAUCAGUGAAACACAUGAUGCAUUCUGCAGCAGCAGAUGGUUGAGUGUAAGCUUUAGGCUCAAAGUAACUCAAGUUCUGCCAGAAUUUGGGCCACUCUGCCACCUAAAUUACUGUUACUCGGGCCUAAGAAUAGUGAUGAUUGUGACACGUCAGGCAUGUAUCAACUACAAGGUAAGGGUUAAGAGGCAAUACCUUCCUCCACUGUUUUAACAUGCAGUCUUGAAAACAUUGACCAUUUAAAAAAAAAGUAAGCAAAAAAGCUUUAGACAUUUUCAAAGUUGAUCAAAUUGAGUAUUUCAGAUACAACCUAUUACAUCCUAAAUAUAUUCCCCAGCAGACUACUGCACAUCAACCCAGUGAGAGAAGCACAAGGCCACUGUCCUACCUCUAGGUGAGGCUGGUGCUCCGGGCCGGCUCUCCCUCGGCCAGCGGCAUCAGUUUCUCCUCAAUGGACGAGACCGGGGACGAGUUGCCGGAGCGGUUGUUCUCCAUGGAGCAGUCGCUGACUUCCUCAGAGGAGUCAUUGUAGUCAACGGAAGCAGCCCUCUUAUUAACAAAGGACUCUUCCAGCCUGAUGAAACAAAGGUCUCCCGUCAGUUUUACAGAGUGCAUGAGUGAUGAAAAAAACAUAUCCUUCAUUUUAAAGGGCACAGUUAUUUACUUUCAUUCAGAGGAAGAGAGAUUUUCUACAUUAAUAUAGUCUUUGAUCAGACCAACAGCCAAAGAAGGCUGGCAAAGAUGUCAGGUGGGUGCCCACCUCAGAUGUGUUGUUAUCUUUUUGCUGUUGGUCUAAUAAAAGAUUGAUAUACAAAACUCCCUCUUGUUACAACCCACACAAACCAAGAGCACAAGCCAGUCCUGUAUACAAUAAUCUUAUAAAAAAGAGUUUUCAAGUUGGUGUAUCAUCUUCAGAACAUUCUGUAGAGACAGUCCUGGCAUGGCAGAGGAAGUUUUAUGAGGAAGAUAAUCAUUAGACAUUACAAGACAAAAUGCAACUUACGGCACUCCCUUGACUCUCAUAGCACCUGUGAGAGCCAUCUGCUUCACAUGUUGCAUCAAUAACUGCAUCUGCUCUAAUGACACUCUCAGAACACCUGUGGAGAAGAAAUAUGGAAGUUACCUGUCUGUUGAGUGGAUCAUGAAAACAAUCUAGAAAGAUAAUGCCUGUGGAACAUAACAUUGAAAUAACUGGGAGAGGACAACAGCAGAGGACUCACUGUCUGUAAUAUCUCCAAGUCUUUUGGCGACCAUGUAGAGCACCUCAGGGCACCAGAAGUGGGGGAUGCGGGGGUACAACUUUCCAGUGUCUGAGGGCAGGUGGAAACCUAGCUCGGCCAGCAGCUGACGGAAGGUGGGUGAGGAGAACGCCUCCUCCUGCUCACUGGUCCAAGGAAUGAGUGGGAUGGACUGGUUGGACACUGGUGGAAUGGAAGUGUGUGUUACUAUUGUACAAAGGAAGCAUUUGUUGCUAUGUGUGUGAGAAUGGACCACAUGUUACAGUGUGAGGGAAGGAAGCAUUUGUUAUUACGUGUGCAUUUUUUCAUGCCUUUAGUCUCAGUACUGCCACACCUAUACAUCACUAAACAUUAAAACUCUUUUAAUUUGAAAAGCCACAAAGUAAUUCAUGUAAAGGCAUCACCAAAUUUUAGUUCUUAGUAAGACAUUGAAGUCGGUAAUGCUCAGCUAAGCAAGUUUUGGCUGAUCCUUACUGUUCCUAUCACUACACAGCAAUUAUGGAUAAAUAUUACUGAAAUGUUCCUUUUUCUAAUCCCACAAUGAAGAGUUACUUACAUGUAAAAUGGAAGGCAACAGGCUCUGGUCUGGGGAGGUCAGUGCCCAUGAACCUGAUCUUGGCAUAGCAGGCCUCAAGAAUCUGCUUCUGAAGCCACACAACCUGACUCCCAUGGCCUUCCUCUCUCAGCUUGUC